GUAUCAGGGCAGCGGGCGCGCCCCAUCCCUUCCACUCCUUGGUGGGACGACUGCCCGGGCUCACUGCUGUCCCGGGAGCCCACUCCCGAUCCUUGGCUUCCGUCUCGCCUUCCCUGAACACCUAGCUUGUACCAGCGUGGCGCUGGGGAAGCAUUUGUGGAGACAGGGCAACGUGUGGAGUGCCUUGGAAGUGUGUGGUCACUGUUAGCUGCUGACAGCUGAGGGAGAAACGUCCAUCUUUUGCUUAGUUUGCAUCAGCAUCAUCACGUACCAUCCCGGUCAUCUUCCAUGGAAAGGAGGAAGGGGAAAUUCGAUUCCUUGAGAGAAUAAGAUGAAGAGGACUGAUCGCAGCAUCAGGUUCAAUAAGCCUGGAACCGGAGAGGUCUUAAGGUUGAAAGGAGGAGGCCAGAGGUCGCCGCCAUCAAAAUCCCUUCCGAGCUUCUGUGGCUGCUGGGUGGGUCCUGAGGCUUCACAUGCGACCAUCAGUGUGCCCAGGAGGUUAAGCAGAGAAGCCUCUUCAAAAAUGCCCUCCCUUCAAAGUACCUGCUGGUGGCCAAACAUCUCUACUUUUCCGCGUGGGAAUAAGGGGCCAGUGGGAUGUAGAUGAGCCACCAAAGGCCCGACAGAUUGAGCCCUGAGCUGUCAAGGGUUUCCCCCGGCCAGGGGCUCCGCCACCUUCCGAUCCCCUUGGAAGACCCCGAAGGAGAAAUGUCGGGAAGGAAAGUAGAAACUGGAACUCUGACUCUGGGAAGACAGAACCUGACUGCGCCGGGCGGGGCGCGCGGGUCUGCGC